rnacentral:rRNA from 1 species
CCUACGGGAGGCAGCAGUGAGGAAUAUUGGUCAAUGGACGAGAGUCUGAACCAGCCAAGUAGCGUGAAGGAUGACUGCCCUAUGGGUUGUAAACUUCUUUUAUAUGGGAAUAAAAUGUUCCACGUGUGGGAUUUUGUAUGUACCAUAUGAAUAAGGAUCGGCUAACUCCGUUCCAGCAGCCGCGGUAAUACGGAGGAUCCGAGCGUUAUCCGGAUUUUUUGGGUUUAAAGGGAGCGUAGGUGGAUUGUUAAGUCAGUUGUGAAAGUUUGAGGCUCAACCGUAAAAUUGCAGUUGAAACUGGCAGUCUUGAGUACAGUAGAGGUGGGCGGAAUUCGUGGUGUAGCGGUGAAAUGCUUAGAUAUCACGAAGAACUCCGAUUGCGAAGGCAGCUCACUGGACUGCAACUGACACUGAGGCUCGAAAGUGUGGGUAUCAAACAGGAUUAGAUACCCGAGUAGUC